rnacentral:rRNA from 1 species
GAUGAACGCUGGCGGCGUGCCUAAUACAUGCAAGUCGAGCGAACAGAUGAGGAGCUUGCUCCUCUGACGUUAGCGGCGGACGGGUGAGUAACACGUGGAUAACCUACCUAUAAGACUGGGAUAACUUCGGGAAACCGGAGCUAAUACCGGAUAAUAUAUUGAACCGCAUGGUUCAAUAGUGAAAGACGGUUUUGCUGUCACUUAUAGAUGGAUCCGCGCCGCAUUAGCUAGUUGGUAAGGUAACGGCUUACCAAGGCAACGAUGCGUAGCCGACCUGAGAGGGUGAUCAGUCACACUGGAACUGAGACACGGUCCAGACUCCUACGGGAGGCAGCAGUAGGGAAUCUUCGGCAAUGGGCGAAAGCCUGACGGAGCAACGCCGCGUGAGUGAUGAAGGUCUUCGGAUCGUAAAACUCUGUUAUUAGGGAAGAACAAAUGUGUAAGUAACUAUGCACGUCUUGACGGUACCUAAUCAGAAAGCCACGGCUAACUACGUG